rnacentral:lncRNA from 1 species
UAAAAAUUUGACUCCCAAAAUAGUGAGUAACCUUAUCAUUAUUUUAAUUAUCUAAAGUGGUCUUUUUAUUCAAUUUUGUGAAUUUUAUGAAAAAUGAGUUAAAUGAUUAAUUUUUAGAUUUUAUAAACAAAAUGUGUUUAAAUGAAAUGAUUUUAUAAAUUGUCUUGAAGUUGAAUGAUGGCUUUGAAAAUAGAGUAAUUGGAGACCAUUUGAUGUAUUAUGAAUUUAUGGUUCUAAUUGAUUGGCUUAUGGCAAUAUUGGCAUGAAUGGCUGAAUUGGUACUUGUGUUGAAAAUGUAUAAACUGUUGUUUGCCUUGAUAGGCUGGAUAAUGAUAAAAUUGACAUGUCAUGCUGUUGAAUUUUUAUUGUAUGGUGGGUUUAGCUUGCUGCAGUGGGCGGGUUCUAUGGACUAGCCUAUUAGAGGGGCACGAAAUCCGGUUAUAUAGGUACCUCGGUUGGAGAGGCACGUAGGGUAUCUCCUGAGGUAUGGUUAGAGUUCACGUCACGCCGAACCACCUCGUGAUGAUGAACUUCGCUAAAGCCAAGGAACGGCUGUGUUUUUCAAACUAAAAAUAUGUUUAUGUGUAUACGAAACUUUUUAACAGCCUUGGCGGACUCGGUUAAAUGCCUCGGCCAAGGUAUUCCCAAGAAUGAUUUUGGCAGGAGCCAAG